rnacentral:lncRNA from 1 species
CUGUCUAACCUUUAUUUUACAGAUCAAUGCAAGUGUGGCCAAGGGACUUGGGUUAUACUUUUAUUGCUGAGUCUGGUUUUCUUGAGUUUCAGGGACAUAGAACAUAUUUGCUGUGGCUGUUGGAGAAGAGGCCAAAAGUCACCACCAAACUCAUCUCCAGGGAACAUUCUCUGUCUGCAACUCUCAAGCCCCAACAGAGUCUUUAUCAAAAGAACCAAUUCAUCAAAAGAGUCUCGUCAUGGUUUACACUUUACUAGUCCCCAAAUCAUUGAGUUAAACUUCCCAUUUUAAUAGAUGAACCAAAUCACCUUGAAUAAAGAUGUA